rnacentral:rRNA from 1 species
UACGUAGGUGACGAACGUUAUCCGGAAUUACUGGGCGUAAAGCGUGCGUAGGUGGUUUGUUAAGUCUGAUGUGAAAGCCCUGGGCUCAACCUGGGAACGGCAUUGGAAACUGGCUUACUAGAGUGCGGUAGAGGGGUGUGGAAUUCCCGGUGUAGCAGUGAAAUGCGUAGAUAUCGGGAGGAACAUCUGUGGCGAAGGCGACACCCUGGACCAGCACUGACACUGAGGCACGAAAGCGUGGGGAGCAAACAGG